GCAGAGGUUACGGCGCGCUCGGUAGCGACGCGGGCUGGAGGUGCCGGCGACAGCGGUGGCUUCACCUUCUCCGCGCGCGCUCCUCCUUCUCCAUCGGUGGCUAUGGCUCGCGCUCUCUCCAGGUCGCGGUUCUGCCUGUGACGCUGCGCAAGGAUGAUCGGCGAAGGCAGAGACGGCUGGGCGUUAGCGACGGCAACCCGUGGUGGCAGUGGCACGGCUUGCUCUCUCUCGAUCUCCACCCUUGGAUGUGCGACGGCGUUCCUCUCUCUCCCCUCCUCCCUCAAUUUCAUUUUUCUGCCUC